GCGUCCAUAGCUCAGCUGGAUAGAGCAACGGCCUUCUAAGCCGUAGGUCGCAGGUUCGAAUCCUGCUGGACGUA
rnacentral:tRNA from 2 species